rnacentral:lncRNA from 10 species
AGCAGUUCUUCCAGUUGUAUUAAUAGCUUAAGGGGGUAUUUUCCCAUGAGGAAAAUAGGGCAUAGUCAAUACUAUGAGAGCCCACCUCUGUCCUUUGCUGAUACAUCAGGUAAUUAAAAUCUUAUACUUACUCAAUGGCUCUUUUAAACAUGGUAUUAUCAAGGAAUGAUUGUUUUUGCAACAAAGAUGGUAACAAUGACAGCAAGAGCACCAGUGUGGAAAGUUCUUCUCUGCCUGUCAGGGAAUCUAUCCUGAUUUGCAAUGACACUAUGACUUCUUGCAAGCAAACACCUGGAGACUGGGUCUAACUACCUGGGCAGGUAGUGCUGAGCUUCAAGGCAAUGCUAUCACGUGUCAGCCCAAGAGAAGUUAAAGCACAUGCCCAUACCAAUAUUUUCAUGUGAAUAACACUCUCCAUAAUAACCAAAAAGUGGAAACAGUACAAAUCUCCAACAACUGCUGAAUGGAUAUACAAAAUGUGGUAUAUCCCUACAAUGGAAUACUAUUCAGUAAUGAAAAAGGAAAGAAGGACGGAUACAUGCAACAACAUGGAAUAAUCUCCAAAACCUUAUGCCAACAGAAAAAAGACGUAAAACAGCACCAUCCAAACUUGAGGUUUCAAUAUUGAGACAGAUGAUGCCACGGACACACCAAGAGGAUGUCAGACCUGUAGCCCAGUUUGAAGUCUCUCUUGAUGACUCCUGCUUCCUCUGCUUUUCAUUUUUCGUAAGUAUUUUCCCCAAUAUGUACAUAUUUGCACGUCUAAUUUCAGCUUGACAUCUACUUUUCGGAGAACCCUAAUUGACACAGGAGUGAUCUCAGGAAGAACUCCUGUCAGGGAUUCAAAAAAAAGGAAAAG